GAUGAACGCUGGCGGCGUGCCUAAUACAUGCAAGUCGAGCGAACGGACGAGAAGCUUGCUUCUCUGAUGUUAGCGGCGGACGGGUGAGUAACACGUGGAUAACCUACCUAUAAGACUGGGAUAACUUCGGGAAACCGGAGCUAAUACCGGAUAAUAUUUUGAACCGCAUGGUUCAAAAGUGAAAGACGGUCUUGCUGUCACUUAUAGAUGGAUCCGCGCUGCAUUAGCUAGUUGGUAAGGUAACGGCUUACCAAGGCAACGAGGCAUAGCCGACCUGAGAGGGUGGUCGGCCACACUGGAACUGAGACACGGUCCAGACUCCUACGGGAGGCAGCAGUAGGGAAUCUUCCGCAAUGGGCGAAAGCCUGACGGAGCAACGCCGCGUAAGUGAUGAAGGUCUUCGGAUCGUAAAGCUCUGUUAUUAGGGGAGAACAUAUGUGUAAGUAACUGUGCACAUCUUGACGGUACCUAAUCAGAAAGCCACGGCUAACUACGUG
rnacentral:rRNA from 1 species